rnacentral:rRNA from 1 species
UACGAAGGGGACUAGCGUUGUUCGGAAUCACUGGGCGUAAAGCGCACGUAGGCGGAUGUGUCAGUCAGGGGUGAAAUCCCGGGGCUCAACCUCGGAACUGCCUUUGAUACAGCACGUCUCGAGUCCGGAAGAGGUGAGUGGAAUUCCGAGUGUAGAGGUGAAAUUCGUAGAUAUUCGGAGGAACACCAGUGGCGAAGGCGGCUCACUGGUCCGGUACUGACGCUGAGGUGCGAAAGCGUGGGGAGCAAACAGG